GUCGGUGGGUCCGGCAGGAAACGCGGCUCAGCAGUUGAGCAAGGGAGGAAAUGGGCUCCCCGACGCGCCCGCCAAGUUGCUACUGAUCCACCCCUGCAGAAAGCAAAACAUCGAGGUUGCUGCUGCCGCCGCCGCCAGAGCAGGAAACAGCCGCCAGAAGGACCCGCUUAUUGCAAAACUCCUCUCUUGAGCCUGGAUUGAAACAGGAUGCUGGCAAGGCCAAAAAGCACUGCCCGACCGUCAUCAUCCUACUGGCUCGGCCUUCGCACCCCGUCCACGGCGCAAACCUGGCUGCAGCCCACAAAAAGCUGCCUUUGUGAGAAACAUGCCCGGCAUGCUUGGUCUCAUCAUAGCUUAACCAUUGUCUGCAUAGCACUUGGAGAUCCUUUUCGGUAUUGCUGCUUGACUGAUCUGCAGACUCGAGACAUACAGCCAAAGUUAUUAAAAUCAAUCCAUCACACUAAGCAUUGGCUGAAACAAAGGGCACCAUUAAAAUCAGGUAAACACCAAAACACACCACAGUAUCCAAUGGUAGAAACCGUGAAUAUGCAACAAAUAUUUAAAAUUGCCAGAAGCUGUUAACCACUGCCUAUGAAGAAAGAUGUUACAUCUUUGUUAGCAUGUACCAAAUUCUUAAAAAUAGUAUUUUGGAUUCAGGAUCGAUGUGACAGGUCUAUAUGUAUUUUCCUGUGAGUCACAGCCUACAUUAAUAUUCCCAGAAAAUUUUAGUAGUGAAGACCAUCAGUAUUUACGACUGUACAAGGAAGCCUCUUGAACAUUUAGUUGAUUCUCAGGGUGACUGGAGCACUCACUGAGUCCCCAGGCCCAAGAGAACAGAUUUAUUUAGUUUUGAAAUGUUUUAGAGGAUCAAAUUUGGUCUAAUCUCUGAAGACAAAGCUAUUACAUUUCAUCACAUGCAUGUUUCAGCCAUACCUUCUACCUCAUGGUAGAAGUUUUUGAAUCAUUCCGUCGUACCACAGAUACAAAUGUGGUUGAACGUGUAGUUUUAUCUAGAGAUACUGACGUAAAAAAGGAGAGAUUUUCCUAAGCAAAGGCUGGUGUAGAAGUGAGUACAAUUAGCCUGGCUCUCUCAUAAUGCCUCCUACCGGUCCUGAAUGAGCACUCGUGAGAUAUUAUUAGAGUUACAGGCCUAUCCAUUUUGGCUCUGGAAUAAACCUUAAUUGCAAUAGUUCAGAAUUAAUAUGGCUGGAGAUGCAUUACAGGGAUUACAUAAUUGCCAGCAUUAUCAUCCACUCUUUGCCAAUGUACAAAAUGUAACCUUGAGAAGAGGUGACUUUAUUCAUCGCCCUCGGAGUGGUAAUAAAGUUUCAUUUGGGAACACAUCCAAUAUCCAGGGAAUACAGUUGUUGCCUGGUCCAGGCUAGUGUUUCCAGGGCCUGCCCUGGCUGCAACAGCAUGAAAAGGAGCACAGGAAGGGGAGAACAAUAUUUUGGAAGGGAUAUAACUGUUGCUGGUUGGAAGUGACCUGGAGAGCUGAAUGGUGACAGGAACCAAAAAAUAUGAGCUACAUGUCCUGAAUGAAGCCCAAGUAAGCCACAAUACACGCAAGAAUACAGCCGCAUGCUUAAAAUCAGAUCUGGAACACUGGUACACUUAAAUUUUGGUCAUCUUUUCCAGCUCCUGAUCUGUUGGGUUAUUUCUAAUAAUUUUAAGAUUAAAUCUCUUUCUGUGAACUGUGGCCUUUUUGUGCUUCUUCCACUAACUCCUACUCACUGCUGUUUUUCGAACAGCUGCUUUCCUGUUUAGUUGCAUGUCAAGUUUUCCCUGUCACUAGUGAGGGUGAGCGGGGAACCAGUUUUGCCAGCAUUUAGAAAAAUUCUGGAAAGUGGCUCUUUCUCCCCCAAGGUGGUCCUGUUGAAAAUUGCAGAGUUGUCCCCCAUAUACAGGUAAUAGUUUUGUUGGCCUUCAGGCUGUGACAUCACCGGACUGAAUUGUGGCAGCCAGAAUGUAUGUCUGUGUAAGACUGGCCUUGAGUCUGUUUGGGAAGAUACAGGGUGUAAUUAUUUCAAUAAAAAUAAUAACUAAAUUUAA